GGUUGUGAGGUGACAGCUCUGUGCACCUUGCUUCAGUUGAGAGAAUUGUGGUGUAGGUUGGAAAGGACCCUAAAGCCCAUCCAGUUCUUACUCUUAUCCACAAGAAAAACCUAAAUUUCAUGAGAUUCAGCUCUUGAUUUAAUGGUUCUGAGGUGGCAGCUCUGUGCCCCCUUGCUCCAUCUGAGAGAAGAAUUGUGGGGUGGGGUGGAAGUGACCUUAAAGCCCACCCAGUUCUGACCCUCAGCCCCAAGAAAAAACCAAAUUUAAUCAGAUUACGCUCUUGAUUUAAUUGCUGAGAAGCGCUUGGGGUCUCUGCGAGCUCUUGCCCCUCACCCAGGGAAUGUUAAACCUCCACAACCCCGAGUUUUCCAUUAAUCCAACACCGCCCUACAAAGCAAGAAGUGAUUUUUUUCCCCAUCCCCGCUGCCUGCAGCUGUUUCCAGCUGUUUCCUUGCGCUCCUUUCCGUGCCCAAAUCCGAGGAUUCGCGUUGGAAGAUUUUCCGGGAGCUGUUGAUUCAUUCCGUGGGCACCGCUCGCCUCCGCAGCGCCGGGGGUUGCAGCAAACGCUGCGUUUUGUUACCGUGUCACCUCUGAGGAGCCACCACGUCCCUGCUCGCUUCCAAACAUCCCCAAAAUUCCCGGCUGGAGGGAAUUCCAUGAAAUGAGGUCCAGCCCGGAAAUAAAAACGCCGGAGGCUGUUUGUGCGAGUCCCAGCCGAGGUGUGAGACUCCAGGGGCUUGGAAUGAGCAGCCAGGGAGGAAAAGAAGGAGUGAAAACUAAAAAGAGGAGAGAAAACUAAAAUAAACUUGAAAUAUUUC